rnacentral:rRNA from 1 species
CCUACGGGCGGCAGCAGUGGGGAAUCUUGCGCAAUGGGCGAAAGCCUGACGCAGCGACGCCGCGUGAGGGAUGAAGGUCUUCGGAUCGUAAACCUCUGUCAGCAGGGAAGAACGGUCACUGUGCUAAUCAGCAGUGAAUUGACGGUACCUGCACAGGAAGCACCGGCUAACUCCGUGCCAGCAGCCGCGGUAAUACGGAGGGGGCGAGCGUUAAUCGGAAUUACUGGGCGUAAAGCGCGCGUAGGCGGUAUGUCAAGUCAAGGGUGAAAGCCCCGGGCUCAACGUGGGAACGGCCUUUGAAACUGGGAAACUGGAGUGUGUGAGAGGAUAGUGGAAUUCCAGGUGUAGGAGUGAAAUCCGUAGAUAUCUGGAGGAAAAUCAGUGGCGAAGGCGACUAUCUGGCACAUAACUGACGCUGAGGAGCGAAAGCGUGGGUAGCAAACAGGAUUAGAUACCCCUGUAGUC